rnacentral:rRNA from 1 species
AACGAACGCUGGCGGCAUGCCUAACACAUGCAAGUCGAACGAGACCUUCGGGUCUAGUGGCGCACGGGUGCGUAACGCGUGGGAACCUGCCCUUAGGUUCGGAAUAACUCCCCGAAAGGGGUGCUAAUACCGGAUAAUGUCUUCGGACCAAAGAUUUAUCGCCUUUGGAUGGGCCCGCGUUGGAUUAGCUAGUUGGUAGGGUAAAAGCCUACCAAGGCGACGAUCCAUAGCUGGUCUGAGGGAUGAUCAGCCACACUGGGACUGAGACACGGCCCAGACUCCUACGGGAGGCAGCAGUGGGGAAUAUUGGACAAUGGGCGAAAGCCUGAUCCAGCAAUGCCGCGUGAGUGAUGAAGGCCUUAGGGUUGUAAAGCUCUUUUACCCGGGAUGAUAAUGACAGUACCGGGAGAAUAAGCUCCGGCUAACUCCGUG